UCUCCUCCGCUCUCUCUCUCUCUCUCUCUUUUGCCUCUGUGCAUCGCAGCCGCUCGUUCUGCCGCGCUCGUCUGCCCCGUCUCUCCUCUGUGAGCAAUGAGUGCAGAUUCCAUUCAGUCUAUCCGGCAGCGUCUCGAUUGGCCAAACGGGGACGGAGUUGAGGACCUGAGGAACCGAACACCUCUGUAAGGAGUCGGAGGCAGAGACGGAGGGUAGGGAUUUCUACAGGAUUGAGCCGCGUCGGAUUUCUUCCAGUGGAGAUUAUUUUGCAUCACCAACAAAAAAAAAAAAAAAAAAGAGAGAGGACCCUCGCACUCUGAGCCGGCUGCAGGAGAGAUGCCUUUCACAGUGGUAAUCUGAGUGAUUGGGGCGUGAUCGACAAGGACCUGCGCCGCUACCUAAACCUGCGUUUCCAGAAAGGUUCAGUGGACCACGAGCUGCAGCAGAUCAUCCGGGACAACCUGUACCUCCGCACCGUCCCCUGACUCGCUUAUAGGGCCCAUUUCCAGCCAAAGCAGAGCGCCACUGUGCUCCUCUCCUGCUACCUUCGCCACUUCAUCUGGCGGUUCUCUUAAAGUCUUCUUGAGCCGUUAAAUCCUGCAGGUCCUGAGCCUGAAGCCGGGCCUCCGUCCUGUGGGACAAACUGGAAUGGAUUCAUUCUUUAAAUGGAGAGAAGAAGUAAC